UUUGUUUUUUUUUUACUCUCGGGUGGGGGGUGGGGGGCGCGGGGUGUUUUUUGCCACCCCCUCCCGUGCCGUUUUUUGUGGGGGGGGGGGGGGGGGUGGGGGGGUGGGGGGGUGGGGGCGGGCGGGGACGGGCGCGGGACGCGGGGGGGGGGGGGGGGGGGGGGGGGGGGGGGGGGGGGGGGGGUGGGGGUGGGGGGGGGGGGGGGGGGGGGGGGGUGGGGGGGGGGGGGGGGUUACUUAAACCUCAAUCUCAGGGAAAUCAGCUCUGAGAGGGAAAAACAUCCAGAUCCAUUGGGAUCUUGAAUUCUAUCUUACCCAACAAGGGUAAGGAGAAGGGAAAACCAAGGGGGGGAGGGGGAGAGGGAGAACAAAAAGGGAGGGAAAGAGAGGGGGGAGGGGAAGGGAACAAAAAGGGAGGGACUAAAAAGGGAAACAUCAAGGGAGGGGACAAGGGGGACUGUUUCAAAGUAAAUCACUGGACUAAAAGGUAGAGCCGAAGAAGAAAAGGUUAG
rnacentral:lncRNA from 1 species